rnacentral:rRNA from 1 species
UUUUAUUUGAGAGUUUGAUCCUGGCUCAGGAUGAACGCUGGCGGCGUGCCUAACACAUGCAAGUUGAGCGAUUUACUUCGGUAAAGAGCGGCGGACGGGUGAGUAACGCGUGGGUAACCUACCCUGUACACACGGAUAACAUACCGAAAGGUAUGCUAAUACGGGAUAAUAUAUUUGAGAGGCAUCUCUUGAAUAUCAAAGGUGAGCCAGUACAGGAUGGACCCGCGUCUGAUUAGCUAGUUGGUAAGGUAACGGCUUACCAAGGCGACGAUCAGUAGCCGACCUGAGAGGGUGAUCGGCCACAUUGGAA